rnacentral:rRNA from 1 species
ACCGUGCUAGAUGGGCAGUUUGACUGGGGCGGUCUCCUCCAAAAGAGUAACGGAGGAGUACAAAGGCCCGCUCAGGACGGUUGGCAAUCGUCCGUCGAGCGCAUAGGUAGAAGCGGGCUUGACUGCGAGUGCUACGGCACGAGCAGAGCUGAAAGGCGGUCUAAGUGAUCCUGUGGUCCCGUGUGGAAGGGCCAUAGCUCAACGGAUAAAAGGUACGUUGGGGAUAACAGGCU